AUGAGGCCGCCUGACAACACGCGGACGCCCGUCGAGGCCGACGCCGAUGAGGCCGGCGCCGAUGCGGCCUGCGGCUCAUCGCGGAAGUCUAACACGGCGGAUCUUCCCUCUAUCUUGACGUCGUCGGCGUACUCUCCCUCUACUCGUGCGGCGGCGCCGUCGGGUGGAGGGGCGGGUCGAGCGGCAGCGGCGGGAGUGGAUCCCGGCAUCAAAUCGGAUGGUGAGAUCGCGGGAGGGCUGCCGAAGUUGCGGCACUGGCAGGUCCAAUUUUCGACCCUUGGAUCGUGGGGCGUCUUCGGUUCACACCAUCGUCACGAUGGAUGGCCCUGUUGGAUUUGA
rnacentral:rRNA from 1 species